UUUAUGGAGAGUUUGAUCCUGGCUCAGGAUGAACGCUGGCGGCGUGCCUAAUACAUGCAAGUCGAGCGAACGGACGAGAAGCUUGCUUCUCUGAUGUUAGCGGCGGACGGGUGAGUAACACGUGGAUAACCUACCUAUAAGACUGGGAUAACUUCGGGAAACCGUAGCUAAUACCGGAUAAUAUUUUGAACCGCAUGGUUCAAAAGUGAAAGACGGUCUUGCUGUCACUUAUAGAUGGAUCCGCGCUGCAUUAGCUAGUUGGUAAGGUAACGGCUUACCAAGGCAACGAUGCAUAGCCGACCUGAGAGGGUGAUCGGCCACACUGGAACUGAGACACGGUCCAGACUCCUACGGGAGGCAGCAGUAGGGAAUCUUCCGCAAUGGGCGAAAGCCUGACGGAGCAACGCCGCGUGA
rnacentral:rRNA from 1 species